rnacentral:rRNA from 1 species
AUUGAACGCUGGCGGCAGGCCUAACACAUGCAAGUCGAGCGAGCGGCGGACGGGUGAGUAAUGUAUGGGGACUGCCCGAUGAAGGGGGAUAACUACUUGAAACGGUGGCUAAUACCGCAUACCGUCGUAUAACCCAUAUGGGAUUAGCUAGUAGGUAAGGUAAUGGCUUACCUAGGCGACGAUCCCUAGCUGGUCUGAGAGGAUGAUCAGCCACACUGGGACUGAGACACGGCCCAGACUCCUACGGAGGCAGCAGUGGGGAAUAUUGCACAAUGGGCGCAAGCCUGAUGCAGCCAUGCCGCGUGUAUGAAGAAGGCCCUAGGGUUGUAAAGUACUUUCAGUCGGGAGGCGUUACCGGCAGAAGAAGCACCGGCUAACUCCGUGCCAGCAGCCGCGGUAAUAC